GACGAACGCUGGCGGCGUGCUUAACACAUGCAAGUCGAGCGGAAAGGCCACUUCGGUGGUACUCGAGCGGCGAACGGGUGAGUAACACGUGAGUAAUCUGCCCCUGGCUUUGGGAUAGCCACCGGAAACGGUGAUUAAUACCGGAUAUGACCACUUCACGCAUGUGUUGGGGUGGAAAGUUUUUCGGCCAGGGAUGUGCUCGCGGCCUAUCAGCUUGAUGGUGAGGUAAUGGCUCACCAUGGCUUCGACGGGUAGCCGGCCUGAGAGGGUGACCGGUCACACUGGGACUGAGACACGGCCCAGACUCCUACGGGAGGCAGCAGUGGGGAAUAUUGGACAAUGGGCGGAAGCCUGAUCCAGCAACGCCGCGUGAGGGAUGACGGCCUUCGGGUUGUAAACCUCUUUCAGUACCGACGAAGCGUAAGUGACGGUAGGUACAGAAGAAGCACCGGCCAACUACGUGCCAGCAGCCGCAGUAAUAC
rnacentral:rRNA from 1 species